rnacentral:lncRNA from 1 species
UUCCUUCUAUUCUUCUCUCUAAACGUUGGUGUUCUAACCAAUAAUCACCGAUACGAUAUUCUGUCCGAUCGAUUCAGGAACCAACUAACGAAUGCCAAAGUGCUGUACUUUGUGAAUUUCGUUAAACGAAUGCCAAAGUGCUGUCUAAACAAGACUAUACUUUGUGAAUUUCGUUAAGGUUCUGAUCUCGUGACCAUCGUUAGGUUUGAUUAGGUUUAACACUAAUACGUAUUCCAUUCUGUUAAACUAAAUGUUUAACUACUCGAAACUCUACCCCAUACACUUACAAUCAAAAUGGAUGCUUAAUCAUCAGAGGACUCAGAACUAUAAAGUAGAUGCUUAGAAUCAAGAUGCUUGUUUAAUCAAGACUAUACGCUAACAAGGUGAGUCAUUCUCUUUUUAUCAAAUUGUUUGCAAAACCCUAAAUGUUCUCUAGUUAUACUUUGCAGUGAUUAAGUCUUUGCUAAUAUUUAAUUACUGGCAGUAUGUGGGGGUUUUGUGCACAUUACUACUAACGAUUUAUCACGUUAGGUGGGCGAGCCUAAUUAGGGAUAUGUCCACGGUCAUAGAUACGGUCGAGUGACAACUGAACCAGCUAGUUAAUCGAAAAGGGGCAAAUGUAAAAACUCUUAAUGCUGUGAAUUAUAACAAAGUUAUAAUUGCAGUGAUUAAGUCUUUGCCAAUCUUGAAAGAGCAAAUGUAAAAAACUCUUAAUGCUGUAAAUGAUAACAAAUGUGUUUUGUACAAAAUGAAUGAACUCACCAGUAUUUCCUGCUGACCAAAAUCUUUAUAAAACGCGUUUCAGGUGAUUACGGUAGAUCGGAAUAAGGGCUGUGAUACGGCACCGAAAGGCUUAAAGAAGUAGCUUAUUUUAUCAAAUAAAUUAAAUUAAAUGUUGUUUCAUAUAUUCGGGUUUAUCCCAUAUUAAAGCUACCUUUGUAAAACAUGGGUUUCUUUCCAUCUAUUUAAUAAAUAAAAUCCGGUGUUUUCUAAACUCUGAUAUUUUUCCUAACUCACGGUCCUGAUGAACAUUUCCGCUGCAAUGUUUUUAAAAUAACCACCGGUACCACUUAACUGUUCACGGCACUCGUCCAGGGUGUGGUCGGGGUUCGUGACACUUUUAAACCCUAACUCCUUACAAAACUCUCAAAUCGAAGGUCUAAAUCAAGUCCGAAUCAAAAUCCAAGUACGGAAUAGUGAUCUCCACUGAAAAAGGAGUCACAAGGUAUGUAAAUCUCGUAAGAAAUCUCUAGUUAAAUUUCUGAGGUAGCCUAGAGAAUCCGAAUUAGGUGGUUUCAUGUUCGUUAUUUGAUGAAAUAGGAACAUUGUAGUGUCUAGGAGUAAACCCUAAACAAGCAUAUGAUGAAAUUAGGUCUAAAACUUGUGAAUUCAUGAUCACCUUUGAAGGUGAUAAGUGGGUUUUUGAAUAAACAUGCUAAACACUAGAAAUUUAUAGUUGUUCUAGUGUAAUUUGAAUUUAAUAAGUAAAUUCUGAUGUUGUAGAUAUAAAAAUUGAUAUGAGCAUGUUAAUUGAGGUUAAAAUCGCCUAAACGACAAGCCAUGAACAUGAUAAUAAAAGGUAUAAAAUUCUGCCUUUGAAAUGUUUGUAAAAAUGCCUAAAAGAAGGCUUUAAAACUGGAAAAUUGGGUUUAAACGCGUAUUUGUAAAUUUCGGCAAGUUAUGCAUUACAUGUUAUGGAAAGAGUUCUAAGAAAGUUGUCAUUGAACUCUAUAGGAAAAGAUACCGGGACGACAAGUGGACAAGCCGGAGGCGACUUGCGUUUGAAGGGCGUGCUUUAAAGACGGAUCACAAGAGCGUGAAGCCACAAGUGUGGUAAUGAAACGCCAAUGGUCGUGACGAUGGACCUAAUCCGGAUGGCGAUCAAGCACAAUUCCAAGAACCGAACACGAUCUUUUGAAGCUUCCGCGAUUACUUAACUAUGUUCAAAACAAUGUCUAUGUAGUUAAAACUUAAAUACUUAUUUUGGGAUUGUUAAACUAGCAGUACUUAUCUAAAAUUUAACUUGUU